rnacentral:lncRNA from 13 species
ACCUCAUAUUAACCUUCCCUCUCUGACUAGGAGCACAACUCCCUCUACCACCUCAUUAACCUUCCCUCUCUGACUGGGAGCACAACACAACUCCCUCUACCACCUCAUUAACCUUCCCUCUCUGACUGGGAGCACAACACAACUCCCUCUACCACCUCAUAUUAACCUUCCCUCUCUGACUGGGAGCACAACUCCCUCUACCACCUCAUUAACCUUCCCUCUCUGACUGGGAGCACCAUGUUGUGUCGACACCCUUCUGUCAUCACGUAUUUGGGUUGAUUCAUGAGAUGAACCGAUUACUGCCCACAAUAAUUUCCACUACCACCUCUCCUGCCAUGUAGCAUCAAAUACCUUGUUUUAGUCGACUACCACCUCUCCUGCCAUGUAGCAUCAAAUACCUUCUUUAACCCAACUACCACCUCUCCUGCCAUGUA